rnacentral:rRNA from 1 species
AAUGGGGGCAACCCUGAUCCAGCCAUUCCGCGUGAGUGAAGAAGGCCUUCGGGUUGUAAAGCUCUUUCGGCCGGGAAGAAAUCGCAUCUCCUAAUACGGGGUGUGGAUGACGGUACCGGAAGAAGAAGCACCGGCUAACUACGUGCCAGCAGCCGCGGUAAUACGUAGGGUGCGAGCGUUAAUCGGAAUUACUGGGCGUAAAGCGUGCGCAGGCGGCUCACUAAGACAGAUGUGAAAUCCCCGGGCUUAACCUGGGAACGGCGGUUGAGACGGCCCGUCUUGAGUGGGCUAGAGGAUCGUGGAACUCCCGGUGUAGCGGUGAAAUGCGUAGAGAUCGGGAAGAACACCGAUGGCGAAGGCAGCGAUCUGGGGCCACACUGACGCUGAGGCACGACGGCGUGGGGAGCAAA